rnacentral:rRNA from 1 species
AUUGAACGCUGGCGGAAUGCUUUACACAUGCAAGUCGAGCGGCAGCGCGGGGGCAACCCUGGCGGCGAGCGGCGAACGGGUGAGUAACAUAUCGGAACGUACCCAGUCGUGGGGGAUAACUAUCCGAAAGGAUAGCUAAUACCGCAUACGUCCUGAGGGAGAAAGCGGGGGAUCGCAAGACCUCGCGCGAGAGGAGCGGCCGAUGGCGGAUUAGCUAGUUGGUGGGGUAAAGGCCCACCAAGGCGACGAUCCGUAGCGGGUCUGAGAGGACGGCCCGCCACACUGGGACUGAGACACGGCCCAGACUCCUACGGGAGGCAGCAGUGGGGAAUUUUGGACAAUGGGCGAAAGCCUGAUCCAGCAAUGCCGCGUGAGUGAUGAAGGCCUUAGGGUUGUAAAGCUCUUUUACCAGGGAUGAUAAUGACAGUACCUGGAGAAUAAGCUCCGGCUAACUCCGUG